GCAUGUGUCCUAGUGGCAGAGUGUCUGCCUUGCAUGCUGAAGGUCUCGGGUUUAAUCCCUGGUGUCUCCA